rnacentral:misc_RNA from 1 species
GAUGAAGAACGUAGCGAAAUGCGAUACGUAAUGUGAAUUGUAGAAUUCAGUGAAUCAUCGAAUCUUUGAACGCAUAUUGCGCUCUCUGGUAUUCCGGAGAGCAUGCUUGUUUGAGUAUCAGUAAACACCUCAACUUCCAUAUCUUUUUUGAAAUGGGAGUUGGACUUGAGUGAUCCCAACGCUUUUCCUCACCGAAAAGUGGCGGGUUACUUGAAAUGCAGGUGCAGCUGGACUUUUCUCUGAGCUAUAAGCAUAUCUAUUUAGUCUGCCUAAAAAACAGAUUAUUACCUUUGCUGCAGCUAACAUAAAGGAGAUUAGUUCUUGUGCUGACUGAUGCAGGAUUCACAAAGACAGGCUUCGGCCGACUUUGUAAACUCGAUCUCAAAUCAAGUAAGACUACCCGCUGAACUUAAGCAUAUCAAUAAGCGGAGGA